rnacentral:rRNA from 1 species
UACAGAGGGGGCAAGCGUUGUCCGGAAUUAUUGGGCGUAAAGAGCGUGUAGGCGGUCCGGUAAGUCCGCUGUGAAAGUCGGGGGCUCAACCCUCGAAUGCCGGUGGAUACUGUCGGGCUAGAGUGCGGAAGAGGCGAGUGGAAUUCCUGGUGUAGCGGUGAAAUGCGCAGAUAUCAGGAGGAACACCGGUGGCGAAGGCGGUUCUCUGGGCAUGAUCUGACGCUGAGGAGCGAAAGUGUGGGGAGCGAACAGG